AUUUUGACUUCAGUCAAACCCACUGGCUUGGGCUCUGUGUAGAUAUUAUCAACAUUGUCUCCAAGUGGAAUGAAUUCAAAAUAUCCAAUAUUAGGUAGCACAGCAAAUGUAACCAACUCAGGAGGCAACUUCGGAUUGACGUUUGCUGCUAUCCACCCUUCUGUGGCACCAUAAUCACCACUUAACAGAGGUAUCUCAGCUGAGUAGUGCCUCAGUUUUUUCAAAUAAGGCUCCAUUGACCCAGUC
rnacentral:misc_RNA from 1 species